rnacentral:rRNA from 1 species
CCUGCGCGGAAGAUGUAACGGGGCUAAACCAUGCACCGAAGCUGCGGCAGCGACACUAUGUGUUGUUGGGUAGGGGAGCGUUCUGUAAGCCUGUGAAGGUGUGCUGUGAGGCAUGCUGGAGGUAUCAGAAGUGCGAAUGCUGACAUAAGUAACGAUAAAGCGGGUGAAAAGCCCGCUCGCCGGAAGACCAAGGGUUCCUGUCCAACGUUAAUCGGGGCAGGGUGAGUCGACCCCUAAGGCGAGGCCGAAAGGCGUAGUCGAUGGGAAACAGGUUAAUAUUCCUGUACUUGGUGUUACUGCGAAGGGGGGACGGAGAAGGCUAUGUUGACCGGGCGACGGUUGUCCCGGUUUAAGCGUGUAGGCUGGUUUUCCAGGCAAAUCCGGAAAAUCAAGGCUGAGGCGUGAUGACGAGGCACUACGGUGCUGAAGCAACAAAUGC